ACGCUCGACACCACGGGGGCAGCAGUGGGGAAUAUUGCACAAUGGGGGAAACCCGUGAUGCAGCGACGCCGCGUGGAGGAAGAAGGUCUUCGGAUUGUAAACUCCUGUUGUUGGGGAAAAAGAGGAUGGUACCCAACAAGGAAGUGACGGCUAACUACGUGCCAGCAGCCGCGGUAAUCUGAGCGGGCUGGCAAGGC
rnacentral:rRNA from 1 species